GUGCUUGCCUGGGCAGCACAUAUACUAAAAUUGGAACUAUACAGAGAAGAUUAGCAUGGACCCUGCACAAGGUUGACAAUUUUAAAAUAUUUAAAAAUAUAAUUUCUU